rnacentral:rRNA from 2 species
UGGGGAAUUUUCCGCAAUGGGCGAAAGCCUGACGGAGCAAUACCGCGUGAGGGAGGAAGGCUCUUGGGUUGUAAACCUCAAAACUUAGGGAAGAAGAAAGUGACGGUACCUAAUAUAAGCAUCGGCUAACUCCGUGCCAGCAGCCGCGGUAAUACGGAGGAUGCAAGCGUUAUCCGGAAUCAUUGGGCGUAAAGCGUCCGUAGGUGGCAUUUCAAGUCUGCUGUCAAAGACCGAAGCUCAACUUCGGGUAGGCGGUGGAAACUGAAAAGCUAGAGUAUAGUAGGGGUAGAGGGAAUUCCUAGUGUAGCGGUGAAAUGCGUAGAGAUUAGGAAGAACACCAGUGGCGAAGGCGCUCUACUGGGCAUAUACUGACACUGAGGGACGAAAGCUAGGGUAGCGAAAGGGAUUAGAUACCCCUGUAGUCCUAGCGGUAAACGAUGGAUACUAGGUGUUGUCUGUAUCGACCCAGAC